AUACAGAGGGUGCAAGCGUUAAUCGGAAUUACUGGGCGUAAAGCGCGCGUAGGCGGUUUGAUAAGUCGGAUGUGAAAUCCCUGGGCUCAACCUGGGAACUGCAUUCGAAACUGUCUGACUAGAGUAUGGUAGAGGGUGGUGGAAUUCCUAGUGUAGCGGUGAAAUGCGUAGAUAUUAGGAGGAACAUCAGUGGCGAAGGCGACCACCUGGACCAAUACUGACGCUGAGGCGUGAAAGCGUGGGGAGCAAACAGGAUUAGAAACCCUAGUAGUCC
rnacentral:rRNA from 1 species